rnacentral:rRNA from 1 species
AUUGAACGCUGGCGGCAGGCCUAACACAUGCAAGUCGAGCGGAGCGGCGGACGGGUGAGUAAUGCCUAGGAAUCUGCCUGGUAGUGGGGGAUAACGUCCGGAAACGGGCGCUAAUACCGCAUACUAUCAGAUGAACAUAGGUCGGAUUAGCUAGUUGGUGGGGUAAAGGCCUACAAAGGCGACGAUCCGUAACUGGCCUGAGCGGAUGAUCAGUCACACUGGAACGGGAACACGGUCCUGACUCCUACGGGAGGCAGCAGUGGGGAAUAUUGGACAAUGGGCGAAAGCCUGAUCCAGCCAUGCCUGGUGUGUGAAGAAGGUCUUCGGUUUUUAAAUCACUUUAAGUUGGGAGGCGUUACCAACAGAAUAAGCACCGGCUAACUUCGUGCCAGCCGCCGCGGUAAUUC